rnacentral:rRNA from 1 species
UACAGAGGUGGCAAGCGUUGUUCGGAAUUACUGGGCGUAAAGGGCGCGUAGGCGGCCAUCUAAGUCAGACGUGAAAUCCCCCGGCUUAACCUGGGAACUGCGUCUGAUACUGGACGGCUCGAGUUUGGGAGAGGGAUGUGGAAUUCCAGGUGUAGCGGUGAAAUGCGUAGAUAUCUGGAGGAACACCGGUGGCGAAGGCGGCAUUCUGGACCGAAACUGACGCUGAGGCGCGAAAGCCGGGGGAGCAAACGGG